AUAAAUUAAAUCUUGGAUAAUUUCAUAUCAAUUUAAUAGUACUGCGUAUUUGAAGGAAUCCCGCGGGCUAGCUUGUUUGGCUGAAAUUGGUUUUGGGCAAAGAAAGCAUAUAAGAAUAUUCUUGUCGUAUAUUACUCCUAUAAAUAUGUCCACAAACAAAAACACACACAUGUAUUCUCGCUCACCAAUCUUCUCCACCUCUCAUCCUUGGUGAUUUCAGCUCAGCCGCAGCGCCUCCGCCACCGGCAUCCUCAACACGGCGGCUACUGCAGCUGUCUAGGAUGCUUAAAAUAUACUCCAUAUGGAUAUAAUCUCUCUGCAAGUCGUUUUGCAUGGGACAGCUGAGCAAUUACAUCAUGUCUACAUGGGAUGAGGAAAAAAAGAAAUACAUGUAUUAGUUUUCUUGGAAGACACAUAUGAACAAUGAGAAAAACAUAGUAAGAGUCUCUAAUAGGCUAGGCUACCUGCCAUGAAUUACUGAUACUGGAAAUCCAGCCAUACGGAUAGAUUCUAUCUCUUUUCUCGACA